GACGAACGCUGGCGGCGUGCCUAAUACAUGCAAGUYGAGCGGACAGAUGGGAGCUUGCUCCCUGAUGUYAGCGGCGGACGGGUGAGUAACACGUGGGUAACCUGCCUGUAAGACUGGGAUAACUCCGGGAAACCGGGGSUAAUACCGGAUGCUURAUUGAACCGCMUGGUUCAAUUAUAAAAGGUGGCUUUUAGCUACCACUUACAGAUGGACCCGCGGCGCAUUAGCUAGUUGGUGAGGUAACGGCUCACCAAGGCRACGAUGCGUAGCCGACCUGAGAGGGUGAUCGGCCACACUGGGACUGAGACACGGCCCAGACUCCUACGGGAGGCAGCAGUAGGGAAU
rnacentral:rRNA from 1 species